rnacentral:rRNA from 1 species
UCGAGAAUCUUCGGCAAUGGGCGCAAGCCUGACCGAGCGACGCCGCGUGCGGGAUGAAGGCCUUCGGGUUGUAAACCGCUGUCAGUGCGGAGGAAAUAUAGUGGGGUACUCCCCAUUAUUUGACCUAUGCGCAGAGGAAGGACGGGCUAAGUUCGUGCCAGCAGCCGCGGUAAGACGAACCGUCCAAACGUUAUUCGGAAUCACUGGGCUUAAAGGGUGCGUAGGCGGUCUGUUAAGUUGGGUGUGAAAGCCCUCGGCUCAACCGAGGAAUAGCGCCCAAAACUAGCGGACUUGAGCAAGGCAGAGGUGAACGGAACUAAGGGUGGAGCGGUGAAAUGCGUUGAUAUCCUUAGGAACACCAGUAGCGAAAGCGGUUCACUGGGCCUUUUCUGACGCUGAUGCACGAAAGCCAGGGGAGCGAACG